CCCUUCGAGUGGUGGAUAACCCUCCGAAAGGAGAGCUAAUACAGCAUGAGACCACGGUUUCGAAAGGGACUGAGGUCAAAGCGGAGGAUCGCAAGACUUCGCGCUUGAGGAUGAGCCUGCGGCCCAUCAGGUAGUUGGCGGGGUAAUGGCCCACCAAGCCUAAGACGGGUAGCUGGUCUGAGAGGAUGAUCAGCCACACUGGAACUGAGACACGGUCCAG
rnacentral:rRNA from 1 species